rnacentral:lncRNA from 1 species
CUCUCUCUGUCCGUCUCCAGGUUAAACCCCCUUCUCCUUCCUCUCCCUUAAACCCACCAGGCCAUGUGAGUGGGAGUCCUCAACUUGGCUCAGCUGUCCAGGCAAACCCAGCAGCAGAUGGGCCUCCUGGUCCUUCUUACCAAUGUCUUUCAUCCUCCAGGUGCUGCCGGCAGCCCUGAGGUGCAGGGGCCCUGCCUCCCACUCCAGGGCAGCCUGCUGAUGCCCAUGGUUCCCAGCUGCCUGUUGGCUGGCCUAGAAGCUGUGGCCCCACUCUGCGAUUCUGGGUCUUGGCUGGAAGUUUCAGAAGCACACGCAGCAGUGACUUCCUCCUUGCGGUGGCGACUGGAUCAGCAACUGCCAGGACAGUAAUGAGAUCCCCCAAGAACGGUUGCUGGCAGCCCACUACCGCUGUUGCUGGGGGCUGAGGGUUGAGUGGGUCUGAGUGCUUGCCUGUGAGCAAUUCAGAGCCCCAAGAGAUUCCCAAAGAAACUGCUGCUCUGAGGUUAUUCAUCUGAUGGGAAGACGCUGGUGAGAAAAGACAACAUUUCUGGUAAGGUUUGGCCUGCAUCCUGCAAGGAGACAUGACCUGGGAGGCAGGGGCAAUGUUGACAAAGUGGAAUUUAUGCAUCCCCAGCUGCAAGGGUGGAGAUGGGCAGGCCCCAGAGUCCCCAGGCCCUGUGGGCUGAGUAGAGUGUGUGAUCACGCAAUCUGAGCAGUUGCACACAGACCCACCCUCAGAACAGCCACACCAUUGGUUUAACGUUCUGUUGUUGCCAUCUUGAAAUUCAUAAUACUUUUUUUUGACAAGCGGCUUUGCAUUUUCACUUUGCACUGGGAUCUGCAGAUUGUGUAGCCAGUCCCGCAUGUAGGGCAUCAGAAAAGAGAAAUUUCACCUGGAGUUGCUAGGCCAAAAGGCCCCAUGGGAAGGGAGAGGGACCUCGAAGGUGCAGGUCUGAUGAAAGCAAGCACCACAGAGCAAGGCGCUGGAGCCUGGGGGUGCCAGCUUCUCCAUCAAGCCCUUUAAUGAGAAAGCUCUCACGGCAAACCCAGACUGGGGUGGGGGAAGGAUUGGAGGUUGUGAAUCAGCCCCACUAUCUGCCUGUCCAGGUCUGUUAAUACUUGGUUUUCUCUUUGGCUUGGUCCUUG